rnacentral:snoRNA from 1 species
UCGUCACGGAUGAUGUUACGCAUAGUUCAUAUUUAUGCACUGAAAAUGAAUAUAGCAUUGUCUUUCGCUCCUAUCUGACGUUUUGA